rnacentral:rRNA from 1 species
ACUACGUGUGGCAGCAGUGGGGAAUAUUGGACAAUGGGCGAAAGCCUGAUCCAGCCAUGCCGCGUGUGUGAAGAAGGCCUUCGGGUUGUAAAGCACUUUCAGUGGGGAAGAAAGCCUUGGGGCUAAUACCCUCGAGGAAGGACAUCACCCACAGAAGAAGCACCGGCUAACUCCGUGCCAGCAGCCGCGGUAAUACGGAGGGUGCGAGCGUUAAUCGGAAUUACUGGGCGUAAAGCGCGCGUAGGCGGUCUGAUAAGCCGGUUGUGAAAGCCCCGGGCUCAACCUGGGAACGGCAUCCGGAACUGUCAGGCUAGAGGGCAGGAGAGGAAGGUAGAAUUCCCGGUGUAGCGGUGAAAUGCGUAGAGAUCGGGAGGAAUACCAGUGGCGAAGGCGGCCUUCUGGACUGACACUGACGCUGAGGUGCGAAAGCGUGGGUAGCAAACAGGAUUAGAUACCCUGGUAGUC